AUUUGGUGCUGAGGGCAUCUAAUACACAAUUUCUUAAAUCUCUCCCAAUAGUCAUGAGUGACUCCCCUGGAUGCUGUGUAAUGCCGCAUAUUUCCUUUCUCAAAUU